rnacentral:rRNA from 2 species
CGCAAGUCGAGCGGAUGAAGAGAGCUUGCUCUCUGAUUUAGCGGCGGACGGGUGAGUAAUGCCUAGGAAUCUGCCUGGUAGUGGGGGAUAACGUCCGGAAACGGGCGCUAAUACCGCAUACGUCCUACGGGAGAAAGCAGGGGACCUUCGGGCCUUGCGCUAUCAGAUGAGCCUAGGUCGGAUUAGCUAGUUGGUGAGGUAAUGGCUCACCAAGGCGACGAUCCGUAACUGGUCUGAGAGGAUGAUCAGUCACACUGGAACUGAGACACGGUCCAGACUCCUACGGGAGGCAGCAGUGGGGAAUAUUGGACAAUGGGCGAAAGCCUGAUCCAGCCAUGCCGCGUGUGUGAAGAAGGUCUUCGGAUUGUAAAGCACUUUAAGUUGGGAGGAAGGGUUGUAGAUUAAUACUCUGCAAUUUUGACGUUACCGACAGAAUAAGCACCGGCUAACUUCGUGCCAGCAGCCGCGGUAAUACGAAGGGUGCAAGCGUUAAUCGGAAUUACUGGGCGUAAAGCGCGCGUAGGUGGUUCGUUAAGUUGGAUGUGAAAGCCCCCGGGCUCAACCUGGGAACUGCAUCCAAAACUGGCGAGCUAGAGUAUGGUAGAGGGUGGUGGAAUUU